rnacentral:rRNA from 1 species
UACGUAGGGUGCGAGCGUUGUCCGGAAUUAUUGGGCGUAAAGAGCUUGUAGGUGGCUCGUUGCGUCGGGAGUGAAAACCUGCGGCUUAACCGCAGGCCUGCUUCCGAUACGGGCGAGCUAGAGUUCGGCAGGGGAGACUGGAAUUCCUGGUGUAGCGGUGGAAUGCGCAGAUAGUCAGGAGGAACACCCGGGUGGCGAAGGCGGGUCUCUGGGCCGAUACUGACUGAGAAGCGAAAGCGUGGGGGAGCGAACAGGAAUU